CCGUCUGGUCCCCCGCGACAGCGGCUCAUCAACACGUUCCCACGCUCCCUUCGUGGCUCGUCGCCCUCUGGACUCCAUUUCCCACAAGGCGAGUCACCUGUGCCGGCCCCUGGUAUGCAGCGGGCAGGGCCCCCUCCGAGGUCCAGUCCCGAGCCGAGCGCGGGCCGUCGGCGGAAGUGAGAGCCGGAAGUGCCUUCGGCGUGUGCGGAGGCUGGCGGCUGGCGGCGCUGCCCGCCUCUGACAGGGGCCCGCGGCCGAGAAGUGAAGGGUGUAUUGCAUACGAAGCACCACGUGUGUGGGCAGAUGAGACCUCCUGUGUGUGGGGACCCCAGCACAGCCCUUGCCUGUGUCUGCAGUGUGACCUCAGAGACAGAGCAUGAGCAGGGAAGGAGCAGAGAGAGGGAGACACAGAAUCUAAAGCAGGCUCCAGGCUCUGAGCUGUCAGCACAGAGCCUGACGCGGGGCUCGAACUCAUGAACUGUAAGAUCAUGACCUGAGCCGAAGUCAGAUGCUCAACCGACUGAGCCACCCAGGCGCCCCAUGUGUGACACCAUUUGUGUGUGCGGAUGAGACUUCAGGGUGGCGCUUAAUGACCCUGUCAAUCUAAGGCACCUUGGAGGAAGUCCCAUGCCUGGGAAGAUCUGGGACACAGGCUGUUUAUGGUCACACUGUUUAUCCAGGAUCCAGGAAAGGGACAGAGCAGAGCCUGGCAUGUAUAGACACCUGGAAGAUAUUAACAGGCAAAUGAAUGAAUGGUGGCAUGAGCAGUGUCUAGAUAGGUGGUUGGGGGUUUUGGGUGGUAAGUAGUUGCUCUGAAAUUGCUGCCUCCUGACAGGCCCUUUUUUUAACGGGGUCCCCAAGAAGACAGCCACACACACAGGCAGAGGGAUUAUUGCCACAAGCUAGGAGUGCCGCUGUGGAGCAGUAAAAUUCAGGUUGGGGACACUUAAUGGCCUCGGAGCACAUGUGGCUGGUGUCAGAUGCCAUCCCAUCCUCCAAGCCUCCCCUGCCCAACCUUAAAGGGGAUGCAGACCAUGCAGGUGUGAUAGAUGGCUUUGUGGGGGGCUGGUAAGGGCCAUCCAGCUGUCCCUCUGGUGGCCACAAAGCUGAGUGUUUUGGGAAGUGAUGAGGAAUCACUGUGUCUUUUUUUUUUUUUUAAGUUCAAUUCUUUUUUUUUAACAUAUUUAUUUAUCUUGAGA